rnacentral:misc_RNA from 1 species
UCAAACUUGGUCAUUUAGAGGAAGUAAAAGUCGUAACAAGGUUUCCGUAGGUGAACCUGCGGAAGGAUCAUUCACAAUUUACAGGUGUUUCUACGCUCCAACCCCUUCUCCGGGGAAGGAGACAAGGACACUGUGGAUCACAAAUCCAUUCCCACCUUGUGUGCAUUGUAAGAACAAACACCAUUUCACAGAAAUUGAAUUUUUAGCAAGACCGUCUGAAUGCAUCUCAUUAGCCCUAUUUGCGAAAGCAGAAAGGAAUAAAAUGAAAUACAACUUUCAACAACGGAUCUCUUGGCUCUCGCAUCGAUGAAGAACGCAGC